AGAGUACUCCCUCCGUUCGGAAUUACUUGUCGCAGAAAUGGAUGUAUAUAGACGUAUUUUAGUUCUAGAUACAUCCAUUUCCGAGACAAGUAAUUCCGAAUGGAGGGAGUAGAUA
rfam:Triticum urartu cultivar G1812 contig1046851, whole genome shotgun sequence.